rnacentral:lncRNA from 1 species
GUGUUAAUAGUUACCAUUCUUGGGGCACCAUCAAUCUCUGCAACUUCCAUUCCUGUUACAAUCAUGCCAGGCACAAUUUCCCUUGUAAGCCUAACGAUUGCAUCCUCUGCCGUGUUCAUAUCCAGUGCCUUCAUUCCAGGGACGCUGUCAAUCAUCCCAAUGCUCUUCAAUCUCUUGACCCCAGUGGCUCCAAAAGGUCCAUCAUGUCCACAAGAACUGACCACAACCUUAGACUCCAUCACGUUCGGGUCCAUGCAGGAUUGUGUGUCGUGGUUCAUUGACACCAAAGCCCAGUUCGUUACCACACCGGCAACCCUGUUUCCUUUGACUAUCAGAUCCUCAGCAGCCACAGCAUUGAACAACUUCACGUUAGGCCUUGCUAAAAGCUUGCUCAUGAUUGUUGAUGUGAACAAAGCUGCAUGCUUGAUGACAACGUAGUCUUCUUGUUCGUCAUAUUGGAUGCCGAGCUCGUCGAGGAACCUGUGAGCUGGUUUGCGAACAACCAUGGCUGAAAAUAGUUGGCCACCAAGCCAUGCACCUCCACCAGGGCUAACAGAUUGUUCGAUUAUGGCAACACGGAUGUUGGGGUUUUUGCUAAUCUCGUAAGCACAAGAGAGGCCAGCGGAACCGGCGCCGACGAUGAUAACAUCAGUGUCAGCAUAG